ensembl:lncRNA
GGAGGACGUCGAGUGAACAGGCCAGAGUUCAAUAGGUAGACGGCGCAGCAAGCCACCCGGGCCUUAGCCCGGGGGGCUUGAAGUAGAUCACGGUAUUUUCCUCUCACUCGCGUUAGAAACAAUUCCCUCCGUAUAGCUUCACUUACCAUGCCGAAACAUGCCGACUUUAUAAUAAAUGAAGUGAGUUAAAGCAACCCGGGAUUGGACAACUUUCUUCGAGAAUAUGCAACAAUUUGGUGACCCGCGACGUUUGGAAGAAAGUCCCGAAAAUCCCGGGAGGCGCGACGCUAAAACAACUUCAACAGGCCACACACGUCUGAGAAGCAAAAAGUUCCAGAACCAGAUGCAGACACACCCGGAGCCUACAAACUACCACCGCCGAGCAAGGACUAACAGUCACAUGAGGAGAUCAAAUAACAGCAGGAUUUGAAUCGCACCGGAUGGGUUGGUGGCCAGGGCGCUGGUAUGAUUACAAUCCCUCAGGCCACCUGUUGCUGACACGACGACGACGGAGAACCUGUUUGGAGGCUCCCAUGAUGUAGGAGUAACCUCUCUGAGUUGAGCCCUUGACAAGGAAGGACGAUUCUUGGGUUCAUGAACUACAGGCCCGACGGCGACAGAAUCCAUGCCCAAACCACCCACAUGCAACAGCGAACCAAUGCACGAAGAUCACCUGAACCACCCGAAUCCAUGCUAGGCUAUCAAUAAUCUUGAAUUUUUUAAAAUUGUAUUAUGACUACCAAUUUUUACUUUACUUUCGCACAUGAUGAAAAUUGUAUGACCUUGUAGCACAUGACCAAAAGUAUUAGCUCAGGAUUUCUAUGAGUAGUUUUGUUUGUGUGCUGUUUGGCCAUGUGAUUGUAUGAUAACAAGAUUUAUGUUCAUUUUUGUAUUGUUAAAUAAUGACCUGUAUUUCUAAUGAGACCCACAAUGUGAAUACCGUUUCAGUGUUAUGGGGACGCGUAGUGGUUUUUCUCUCUUCAAGAGUUGUUUCCACUCCGGUUGAUGGUGUUGAUGAUUGAUCCUACUUUGGAUAUGUUUUCGGUGUGGUAAAUGGUGUUUAUGAUUUAAAAUAUUAUUGUAUGGUCAUCUAAGAUGACCAAGGAGGGAUUGUUACGUAUUUUAAGAAUCUAAGCUACCCACACAUAGACCCAAUGAUGCAGGACCAAACAUAUAAGCUGCGUUACCCUCACAUAGCCACAAGGGGAGC